UACAGAGGGGGCUGGCGUUGUUCGGAAUUACUGGGCGUAAAGGGCGCGUAGGCGGUCCGCUAAGUCGGAUGUGAAAACUCUGGGCUCAACCCAGAGCCUGCAUCCGAAACUGACAGGCUGGAGUUCUGGAGGGGAUAGCGGAAUUCCUGGUGUAGCGGUGAAAUGCGUAGAUAUCAGGAGGAACACCGGUGGCGAAGGCGGCUAUCUGGACAGAAACUGACGCUGAGGCGCGAAAGCUAGGGGAGCAAACAGG
rnacentral:rRNA from 1 species